GUGUCAGCCGCCGCGAUAAAACGUAGGUCCCGAGCGUUGUUCGGAUUCACUGGGUGUAAAGGGCGCGUAGGUGGUUGUCUGUGUCUCAUGUGAAAACUCAGGGCUCAACUCUGAGAUUGCGUGGGAAACUAGGCAGCUAGAGGACGGUAGAGGGGAGUGGAAUUCCCGGUGUAGCGGUAAAAUGCGUAGAUACCGGGAGGAACACCGGUGGCGAAGGCGGCUCUCUGGGCCGAUCCUGACGCUGAGGCGCGAAAGCUAGGGUAGCGAACCGGAUUAGAUACCCGGGUAGUCCUAGCCGUAAACGAUGGGUGCUAGGUGUUGGGGGGUAAAGACCCUUCAGUGCCGAAGCUAACGCGAUAAGCAUGGGGGGUGGGGAGUACGGCCGCAAGGUUGAAACUUAAAGAAAUUGGCGG
rnacentral:rRNA from 1 species